AAAAAUUCUUGUAAAUAAGUGAAAGCAUCUAGGCAUAUUAAAUACCCUCUCUAGAACUUGUAGGAACAUGAAUGAACUUCUAGAUACAUUAAGUAACCUAGGAAUAUGAAACAUUGCAAAUUAUCAUUUAACAGAUUAUUUGUAGUGAUUAUUUAAGACUCUGAGGACAAAUCCACUUUCAUUUGUCAUAGAUCUAUUUUCAGUAAAGAAAAUGACCUUUCUUGUAUCUCCCUCUCUCUCUCUCACGCUCAAUAAACCAUAAGACAAGAUCCAAACCCACUCAUACACUUCCCUCUUUCAUAAGGUUAGGACAACUACUCAGCAAACCUCUUCUUUCUCUCACAAGCAAGACAACAACAACAAGACAUUCAUCUUCUUAAACUUCACAAAGUAGGAAAAGCAACAAACUUCCCUCAAACUCUCUCUUGUUCUCACGCUAGAAUCUCUCUCACUCCGAGCUUCCAUUUCCACUUUCAAUUCUUAGAUGCAUGUGUUGAUUUUCACAAUCAAUAGGGUAUGGAUGGUGGAAACUCAAGCUUGAAGUUGGAAGAUAGAAGCUUGAAUGAUUUAGAAGGGGUUGAGGUUUGAAGAAAGAUGUGAGUUGUAAUUAGAAUGUAGAAUGAAAUCAAGUUGGAAUUUUGGAUUAAGUUUAGGGAAAUUCGUGUUUUGGACAUGUCUUUAAUAUCGAGGUCAGGGGACGAUUUUAAAGUGGAGGGCCUGCAGCUUAAUUGUGCAGGAAAAUCUGGACUGUUCGUGGAGUCUCGCCGAGCGAGAAGCGAGGAUAGCAGUUCUGUUCUGCUACCGCAUGUUGUUGUGGUUAUUCCCUGCUGAUUCACAUCCAGUCUAUGCAUAUGAGCCUUUUACCAAGUAAUGGAUGCAGUAAUUGGAGCUAAAGAAUAAGGAACAAAGCUUAGAGUUGAAACUCAUUCAAGAAAUUGUUCAUCUAAUAUCAGGUGGGUUCCCUUAGAGCCUUAAACUCUAGUUAGUUUAGUACCAUAGUUUCCCCAAAUCAAGAAUAUGUAUGACAACAUUAGUUUAGAAGGUAAGUUAAGAUAUUCCCCAAAAUUAUGAUGCAUGAUAACAUUAAGGAUUUUAGGACUAUAAUGUGUGUGUGAGGUGGAUUAAAUCCCCAAGUCCACCUCUACUAUAAAUGAUGGAUAUUGGUUAAUGACUAUGACCGGAUGAAUAUGGUUUGUAGGUGGCAAUUUAAUGAAUUUAUAUAGAAAAUGCGAAACAGAGUACUUAAUUGGUGUAUUCGCUAAGCGAGAAUUAACUUCGCUAGGCGAGCAUAGCAGGACAGUACACUGUAUAAUUACUACUUUUCCAACUUAGCCACUCGUUUUAAACCCUUAUUUAUUCUGGAACUUUUCCAUAGACAAUAUACUGAUAUACUAUGUUUAUAGCGUCAAACACACUUCAGGAAAUUACAUAUCAGGAAUCAAGACAAUUUAGAAAUACCUUGGAAGGGAAUUCAUGGGCAGGAUAACAAUCAAGAUUGUAAGUUAAGUUAGGAAAGUCAGUCAAUCAUGGUGGUUACUUUUGUACCACGUUAUGGGAUUCAGUAGAAUCCAAUUAUGUUAUGAUUGUGAGCUUCCGUCGUGUCGAUGUAUAUUAUUAUCGCAAACGGAUAUGUCAAGCCUCUGAGAUCGGCUCACCUCAGAGUGUCUUUGUAAUGAAUAAAACGAACAAGAUAAUAAUUUGUGAUACACCUUUAUGAUAUUAUGUUAUGUUAUGAAUUACGUUAUAAAAUUAUGUUAUGGACUGACUAUCAGGAUCAGAGAACUAUAUUAGUUCAUUAGUUGCCCCCGGUGUAAAUACCAAUAGUGACUGGGUAGUAGGAAUCCACUGAGACGAAGUGACUGUUCUCAUCCCCCACUUAUUUGAUUUCAGAUAAGUAGAUUGAUCGAGAUAUCUUGGUUUGCUAGCACGAAGAUUCAGAUACAUGGAUUACGUUAUGGGGCUGACAUCAUGUUAAUCUUAUUAUUAUAUAAGAUUCAGUUAAUUUGAGUUUAGUAGUUAGCUCAAUCAUGCAUUCAUUUAGUGGAUUAUUGUAAUCCUAUUGAUGUAUUUGAUCUUUAUGUAGUGAAAAAUUAAUGUUCCCGAUUCAGUUAUGUACACUCUUGUUGAUAUUCUAGAUAAAUUGACAUGAGAUGUUAUAUAUUAUA